GCUCAUUCCCAGAUUCUGCUGAUUCUGAGACUGCCUUUUCACAAGCUGGCCAGGUGACAGGAGGCACAGCAGAGCCUGAGGUGUAAGGGCAUUUCCCGCCCCAGCGCGUGGGUUCUACUCUGGAAUUCUGUGACUUUAGGCCUUUUCUCCCUCUGGUUUUGGAGAGGUGAAUUCCCAGCCCUUCCCACACGGACACUGAGAAUGAGAAACAGAGGCGCCCAUGCCCUUGACAACAUUGCCAAGGUGACUUUCUGGCUGCCAGAACCAGCUUUGGAAAAAGUUCCUUUAUACCUGAUACUGGGAAUUAAUUGUACCCCAACCAUUUUUUCCCCAGUCAUAAGCAUCUCCCAGAGAUCAUGAGUAAGCUUCCAGGGGCUCCCAGGGGACAGUUCCCACCCUGACAGCGCCCCAUGGGCUUUCCAGUGAGAGGAGGAUUUGCGCUCCUCCCCGGCCUCUUCCCAGCAGCCUGUGCCUCCCAGCUUUGAAACUCUGCUGUUGCUGUGAGAAAGAAAGAGCUGGGGAGAACAAUGGCCUCUGCCUUUUGUGGAAGGAUGAUGAAGGGAACUGGAGAGAACAAAAUGAAGGGGCGCAGACAAUUCAUCUUUGUCUGCCUAAUUCACAGGAGUGUCCCCCAUAGAGCGGAGCCCAGCAAGUGGAUGAAGGGGUAACUUGUGAGUCUGCGGAAGGAACAGUCAGGCCACUGUGAAGUCUGCGACAGAGCAGAUAGGCCUGGGUGCACACCCUUCCCAUCACAGAUUCUAAAGGACCAGCCAGCUUUCAGCUGCUCUUCAUCGCCACCUCCUUCUGAGGUGGAAUCAAGACCGUGUCCCUUCUCACCAUAGGGAAAUGGCUCUGCAGUGUUCCAGCUGUCCUGAAGUCACUAAUCCCAUCAGUGACAGAUCCUGGCAACACACAUGGGGGGGGCUGCCCUCCUGGGCCAAGAGUCCAGCAGUCACCUCCGCUGCUCCAGGAGUGCCACGUUAGCUAAUUCUGGUGCACGGUCAGAUGGUGGCUAUUCUUGGUCAGCCUGUCCUCGGAAAAUUCAUUCCCCUGUUGUAUUGGAAAAUUCCUCUUGUGCCUGACGUUGCACACAUCAGGAGACCAAGGUUUCCAUUUUCUCAGAAGAAAUUAACCAGCGACUGUCAUUGAGAGCAAGCCUGGUCCUGGAAUUUUUUACUCAUCUUCUUAGAGCCAUAAUCCGGCAGAGGCAGUCCAAGGCUACGGCCUGCGCUCUACCACAUCAGAGAGACGAGACGCAGCUAGAUGGGGACCAGUACAAGAGGCUGGGAGGCCGUAGUUGGUGGGACAUGGCCUGUUCUACUGGACACUGGCAUCUUUAGUGUCAUCUACUCCUGGUUGUCAGGGGACAUCUGAGUUUGGCAGAAAUAGAGAGUAGGGAUGGAAGGGCCAGCCAAGGAGUACUUCCAGGGACAUAUCAAGACCCCUGUCUUUGAUAAGACUCUUAUCAAUAGUGACACUGACAUAAGCUGACCUUCACAGAAGCAAAUCUGCCUGGUCACAAGGAGAAAUGUUCACUUUCCAAGUGACUGGCACGGAAAUGUAAAGAGGCACAGACCCAACAGGCUAAUGGAAGGUCUUUACUCAGUUCCUGGAAUGCACUAAAACAGGAAAGUCAGCUUGAAAAAUUAGCAGAUUCCCUCUGGCCGGAUUCUCACUGUGGUCUCAGUUGGAUAUAAAAUCUAAAUUCUCAACUGCAAGUAGCUUCUUGGAAGGAAAGAUCUACUUAUAUACCAAGUGGUGCAAUCCGUAGGAAAUUCUUACGUCUUAACAUUUUAUUAUCAGUGAUGGGGAAAGUGAAGUUUUUGAUAAAGAACAUUGAUGGACUACGCCAAACACACCCAUUCAAUGGUCAUUCUUCACUUAAGUAUUCACUUAACAAAAAACCUAUUGAACACUUAGUAUGUUCCUGAACCAAAUACCAUGCUAAAGACUGAGAAUUCAAAAUGCAUUCACUACCACCCUCUUUUCUGGAGCCCAGAAUGGGGGGGGGGUGCUCAACACAACCAAGAAAUUACAGUAGGUUACAGGUAGAGCCUAAGUCAAAGUACAAAGACUGAGCCUCAGGAGUACAAAGAAGCAUGCUGGCUCCUCUGCCUGUGGUCUGGGGGUACUUCACAGUAACGGAAGCUUGUAAGUGGGGUUGACAAUGAGGAGCAGUUUUCCAGGCAAGUGCACUUGCUUUUUGUUGCAGACAUGAGUAUAUUACCCUGAGCACUUGAGCUCCAGGAAUCAGAAAUGUAGUAGGUGACAACCUCUUAGACAACAUGUUUUAUAUCCACUGGGAACAAUGGUUGUGUUCUAGGACAGUGGGUCCAGAGAGCCAGUGGCCCAAAGCAUGCCUUAAUGUUUGUCUCAGAGCAGGGUCCUGAAGCCAGAGCCCCAUUUCUUCCUUUUUCUCAAAAACUCUACUAAAAAAAAUGGCUGGAUAAAGGUCAGAAAAGGCUUGCACACUGGUGGUCCAAAAACUUGCCUUGGAUUAUUUGCCUAGCUCCCUUUACCUGCUGUGGAUCUCCAUUUCCCUGAAGUAGCCACUGUUCAAAUGCCAUCUCCUCACAGUCUUUCCCAACACUCCCAGGCUGAGUGCCCAUCCUCUUCCUUGCCACACCCCAUCCUUCCUUAGCAUAUCUCCACCCACCUGUAGGAGACGCCAUGUUUUCUUGUCUCCCUGAGGGAAGGAAGUAGGACUUUCUCAGCUCUGCAGCCCCAAUGCCUUGCUUAGUGCCUGUGGGACUCUUAUCAAAUGGACUCAGCCUGGCCUGGCACGUUUAGUUUGCCCUGACGUCUUCUAAUAGAGCAGGACAAUAUUCCCUUUGAAAGGCCCUUCCUGAUAAAAUCACACAGAGUCUUAAUACCCUUGUUUCACAUACAAAGCCCCUGAAGUAUAGAGAAAGGAGGCAAGUCCAGAAUGUAGUGUGUGGCUGAUCCAGAAGUUAACAGCUCUUCUCAGUCUGGGAAAAAUCUCACCAGCACUGUGUUGGGACAAAAAUUCCUUAGAGUCCACGGGCCGUCCCAAAUCAAAUGAAAUUUUAAACAAGCCAUCGUGCCAGGCUAUUCUGGAAGGUUCUCUCAGGCUGUGCCUCCAGCAGGUCAGAAUAGGGAAGAGCCCACAGGCCCAGUGCAGUGUCAGGUUCUGCCUUUUCUGUCAGCAGGCCUGGAAGAGCCUUUAAGAAAAUGGAAGAUUAUUAUUUGUUUGUUUUUACAGUGACUCAGUCUGUAGUAACUGGGUUAAAGUCCACUUUGAGAAAAGGAGAACAAAAGACCUCCUGUUAGUGCUGGAAGUUUGCCUCUUAAGAUAUCACUGAGAGGAACUGGGAAGAAAAAAAAAACCAGCAGGGCAGAGGAAGCUGCAGGCCUUCAGGAACACAGCAGCACUUUGGAAAGGAAAACACGGCUGCUUUUCAUCUCCAGCGCCCUAUCUGUGCUGGCCGCUCCCUCUGCCGCUGUUUUAUGGACCACUGCAGGGCUAACCGUCGGACAUGGGCCAGUGCCCAGUUCCCACACUCCUUGAACAUGAGGAAGCUGCCAGGAAUUGUGGUAAGAUGGAUGAAUUUCCAGCUAACCCCAGAUAGAGGAGAAGAAGGAGAAGGGGAGGCAGAAGGGAAGAAAUCAUGGAGGAAGAAGAGGAAGAGGAGGAGAAACAACCUUACGUAAUUUACUAUGCAGCUGGUACUCUUCUUACAAUCUAUAGUACAUCAUAGCUCAUCUCUUAAGCACCACAGAGCAGUAUACACUUCUCCAGGCACAGCAGAAGGGAGAUAUCACAAGAGAGAAACCUGGCCUUGCUGUUUAGGAAGCCCACUGGCCUCAUCUGGGAGAACCAUGAGGCUAGCAAGCUAAGUGGACCCUUCAGGUUGCAAACUCAGGCCACCUGGCUCCAAGACCUGAGGAGGACUUAUCCAACUCUCUUCAGAGGAAAAAAAAGAAGUUAGAGAAAGACAAGUCAAGAGAGGUUCUCUUCCCACAAACUGCCUUCAGCUCAGUCGCCCCCACUCACGCACGUUACACGUUAUGCUCACACUGUGUCCUUUAUCAACCCCGCUGUGGAAGCACUCUCACCCGUGACACCCAGACGGUGGGGUGGGUAUGUGCUAUGGCUGUCUAUUCUAGAGCUGACCUUCUUCAUCUUAAGUGUAGGAAGCCGGAAUUCUCUGCUCUGAGAGAAUGAGAAAGAGAUGGGAACAGGAAGGAAAUGACUGAGAUGUGUCAAAACUCUCUGGCCCUUCCUCCAUUCAGACCACUUCACAUCACCCUCUUCCUUCCCAGAGUCCUCCCAAGAUUAGGCUUUGAUUUAUAGCUCCCAGAGUGGCCAUGCCUUCUGGGUCUCCCAGCUCAGAAAGCAACUCUAUUCUGUCUCCUAAACAAUUUAUAUUUUUGCUGGAUUCUGACCAAACACAAAAGAUUUCAUGAAAACCCCCAAAUGAAAGUGUCACUGUGCUAAUCUCCGCUGUCUCUUUGUGGGCCCCUGUGCUCUUCGGGGUGCAGUAGAAGGCCUGGGAAGCAAGCAGUGUGAUGGGAUGGCAGAGGUAGCCAAAUGGCACCACAUUGGGCUGGUCCUCUAGUAUUCUGUGCAGCUGCCAGGGACUUGGAGCAGAUUAGUCCCACUAACAAGGGAUGUCUCUGCAAAUGAUGGCGAGACAGGGAGGCUCAAGAGGAGCCAUCCAAUGCUCUUUGGAAUGUUUCUCCCUUUGCCUGGCCCCAGAAGGAUCAUUAGGGGAGCCUAAUGAAAUCCUGGCUUUGUACCACCAUGCCCCUUGAAUUUUCCAGGUCCACUCAAAGAGCAGCAAUACCAGACCAAGACUGUGUGUUGCUUAUCAGAUCCCACAAGUGCCAGUCCUCACUAGAGUAUGGGCAGUUCACGGGGCUCUGUGGACAAUGGCAGGCCACAGCCUGGAAAGAACGAGUGCCUUUAAGUCAAAUGCUGUCUGGGGCCACAGUGGGGGCUUUGCAGAUCACCUCCACCAAGGAGAUAUUUGGCAUUCUCUUCCUUUCUAGGCCUGAUAAGGCCCGGGUUCACCGCCGGAAGUAAUCAGAUCAUCUUAGUGGAAUGUCCCUGGGAUCCCUUGUGUCCCAGGAGUAUUUGGCUUCUGAGAACAUGGUUGGCUCUUACAUAGCCAGCUUAAGGAAUUACAGUACUUCUGUGACCUACAGCACUAAAGAAUUUCGUGUGUGAGCGUGCCCACAAAAUGCAAACUGAGCAAUUGCAUAUUUUAAGUUUGACAAUUUGGUCAGUGCUUGUAGUAAAUAUAAACAAGUAACCAGAACUCUCAAUUUAGUCCAAGAUACAGCUUAUGAAAAUCCCAUUCCUAGAGCCUCACACCUGGCCCCAAGAUCACUGGUGGAUUAUCCUAAAUCCAUUCCCAGAAGCAUUAGAAUGUGUAGCUGGUCUCACAGCCACAGCUCACUGGAAACACUAAGGGAUCUGGCAAAAUGUGGGUGAUAUAGCAAAGGCCUGAGAGCAGAAAGAGGGGAGCCAGGUAAGGAUGCCUCCCAUCACAGACGCUUUGUGAUCUGGGUUGAAGGUGCCACUCUCAUAUCCGCCAUAGAUUCCGUGCCUGUAAACAAUGACGCUGCCUGCCACCAACUUGUCCCUAAAGGAGGCUGAGAAAGUGAAUUAAUUAAUGUUUAUCGAGCACUUGGAGUUCUUUGGAGAAAUGCCUUUAUAAAUAUAAGGCAUGAUUAAAGGAUAUCAGCUUGCUCACUCUCAGGGGAAGUAUUUAAUGGGAUCAGGCCUGAAUAUCUUGAUGACUGAGUUUCAUUCUUUAUUCAAAUAUGUGCAGGGCUUCCAUCACUCACCUCUGCUGCCCAUUCGCAUGCUUAUGUUGUUGUUUUUUCCAUCCCAACACCUCCAUAGUGGGCGUCCAGCAAUUGUUGCCGUCCUAUUGCACACGCUCACAGCCUCCUCUUCCUUACUGUCAAACCUGGUGGCUUUUUCUCAUUCCUCAGUUUCCUUUCUGGAACAUGAUGCUGGUCACUGUCUUUACCUUUCCUUUGGAAGUCUGUGCCUUCCUCAACACCGACAGGUCCAACCUGAAGUCGUCAUCAGUCUCAGAACAAUUCUCUACCCUGUGCUGGCCAUAGAGGAACACUCCUGUAAUUCCAGCAAUCAGGAGGCAGAGCAGGAGGAUUACUGGGAGUUUGAGGCCCGCAUGGGUUACAUAGCAAGACCUGACAAGUUUGUCUCAAAAAAAAAAAAAAAAAAACACCCAACAAACAAAAACUUCCUACCCUGACUGUCCUUUUUCUCCUCUUCCUUCUCAUGGGGCCCAGCCCACAGGUCUCCUGCAUUGCCACCCCCUCAAAUAGGCCUUUACUGACCCUGCUUCUUUAAAAACCUAUCUCUGAGCCGAGGAUUUAGCUCAGUGGCAUAAGCACCUGCCUGGCAAGCAUAAGGUCAUGAGUUCAAUCCCCAGUACAAAAGAAAAAAACUAUCUCUGAGGAAGGAGGACCUGUGUAUGUCCCUGGACUGCCCUCAAAGCCUGUCUGUGCCACUUUUAGCUUCUGACUAUCCUGUUUCCAAACCUGCCUGCAUCCCCUAUCCCUUUGCUGUGUACUGCCCCAGCUCUGUCUACCAUGUGAUCUGGUGUCCUGCUUGUCCAACUCUCUGUCCCACUCCCAGACACAGCUUGUACUCUCCCUCCCAGAAAGCUGUCUGAACUGACCAAGAGUCAGGCAAGAGGUGCCCUAGAAAAUGAUUGAGGUGUUGGUCCUACUGGUGCAAGCCUGUAAACCCUGCACUCUGGGAGGUUGAGGCUGGAGGGUCCCAAGUUUGAGUCUAGACUUAGCGAAACUACCUCAAAAAAAUAAAAGAGAUGAAGGAUGUGUUUCAUUGCAAUGACCCUGAGUUCGAUCCUCAGUACCAGAAAAAGCACCAUGACAGACAUCCCCAACAGACGCAAGAACACUCAUGCAGAUAGACACGCAUCAACCCAGGUCAAGGUAUGCAUAUAUACAGACACAGACAGACAGACUCAUGUAUUCAGAUAUACAUGUUCACGUGGACAUACACCAACACAGAUACUCAACAGAGACGAAAACAUACAUGUUCACUUAGACAUUACAGACACACAGAGGCACAUGUAUGAAUACACACACAGACACACACACAGAUUCAUAUAUGGAGAUACACACAAAGCUUCAAAGACAACCAUAUGCAGAGAUAUACACUCUCCUAUAGACAUACAUAAUCAUGUACACAGAGAAGCAUGCCCUGACAUGUUCAGAGACACAAACACCCAGACAUGCACAAAGAAGUUAGAACAAGUUCAUGUACAGCUGAGAAACACAGAAGUAUAUCCAGAAACACACAGACACACACACUCAUGUAUGCAGACACAGUGACACACACAACAGCGUGCAGACACUCCUCUUUACUGAUCAGCCAAUAUCCUAACUGACCUCCUGCAGUCUCUCUGAAUAGCCAUGUCUCUACUCUGACUUUCUCCAUUUCCAUCAGUGUUAGUUUGGGUCCAGAGCACGACAAUGCAUGUGGGUGGAUGGAUGGAUGGAUGGAUGGAUGGAUGGAAGGACAGAUUUUGAGGGAGUAGUUGGCAAGUAUGAAAUCUGCAGGGCAGACCAGCAGGCCAGACACCCAGGGAGAGGUAAUAUAGCUGGACCCAACGGCGGUGUAGAAGUUAAAAGCCCUCUGCCUUUCUCUUCUCUUAAAGCCUUUACUACCCACAUUCCAGAGGGUAAUAUGACUUACUUGAAGUCUUCUGAUUAUACAUUAAUCUCAUCUAAAAACACCUUCAUAGCUAUAUAUAGACAAGUAUUUGACCAAGAAUCUGGGUGCCAUGGGCUAGCCAAGCUGACAAGUAAAAUCACCCAUCACACCAUUGAUUUGGUAAAACUGUACAAAUCUCCUAAAUUACUCCUAACACAGUGCUUCCCUGCUCCAAAUCCUAGAUGCCUUUACACCUGACAAGUAGUAGGAACAAGGCAAAUAUUUGUUGAGUGAGUGAAUAAUGAGGGACAAACACCAUCUGCUCAGCCUAAAACACCAUCGUAAAGGCCAAGCGCUCCUAGGAGCUAAGGAUACAAGUAUCAAAACCACUCUCAUGUGUUCCUUCCUCCAAGUCUCCUGAUGUUUCCUGGACCCCUUAAUCCCCACAGUACCUACUGGAGGGCCUUACACACAACAGGCCCUCAAUUACUUAUAAUUUUUUUAUUGAUCCCUACUACAAAUUUACCUGAAAUCCUGCACUACCAAAAAUCUGUUUCCACUUUCAUUUUUAAGAUACAGAUGUAAAGAGCUAUUUUCAUAAUCAGGAAGAGUAUUUAUACCCCAGAACACUGACAGUAGUCUCUAAGGAUGGGAUUGUGGGUGGCUUCUAUUUUAUACUUUUUUGUGUUUUCUAAAUUAUCCUCUGUGAUCAUGUGUUACUUUUAGAAACAUAAAACUCAGUACAUGUUUUUUCCUUUCAUCUUUUCUUGUCUGAGUCUGAGGAGGCUUGGGCUUUGUUCUCAGAUCUUUUUGGGGGGCCUUCAGCAUACCUCUCGGCUUCUCCUUGAUAAACGCCAAGGAUAUAGCUCAGCAACACCAGCACUUGUCUGGCACGUGCAAGGGCUUGAGUUCGAGUCCUGUACCAAAUGCAAGAAAAGGUCAUCUAGGACUUCCUUGGAAACCUCUGCAAGGUCAUAAAAGGUGAAGUUAACUGCAACUGUUGUUCUGUUUUAAUUAUAUCCAGUGCCAGGUAACAUGGAGCUUUUAAUGAACGAAUUUGGAGAGUUAAUGAUGAUGGUAGUCUUCAGGCUGUUUCCAGGAAGGAGCAGGAACUGGGAUAUAGUGUCCGCUUUGGCCACUCCUACAGUCUGUCUGGUCCUGCCAGCCUGUCCUGAGCCGCCUGCAGCAUGCCGUCAGAUUGCCUCUAUGCCAGACAAACACCCAGCCACCGUGGAAGCGACUGUUCCUUGAACUUUGCUUCAGCCCCGCCUGCCUGCUGGGGUCUCUGGAGGGAAGCAUUCUCCUCUAGCCCAGAUGAAAUGGAGCUUCAGAAAAACCACAGCAGAGGCCGCAGCGGCCUCAGGCUCUGAACUUUGUGUUGCUUAGGUUGCCAGCAUCACUCACUGCUGAGUGUCAUGUAACUCCCAAAAAUGCAAAGGGGAAACCAAAGAGCCAAAAGAACGCAGACAUCUUGUGGCUGGAGAGUCCGUCUAGAAAGUCGCCUUUCACGGUGCGGCCAGGUGUGCAAGAGCAGCUGCUGGCCUGUGGGAAGGCGGGUGAUCCCAGAACGAGGAGCCGGAAUUUCAAGAACCUCACCCUGCACAAGGCCAAGUUUGUGAAAUCUCCCGAGUUCUGGAAAGAGUCCUACACAAACUGGUGAGGUUUCCAGCCUGAUAUUUGAUAAGUGCAAAUGGGCUGAAAAUAUUCUGGAGAUUUUUCAGUUUUGUACAAUUACUAGUGGCCACUGAAGCCCAUCUCCUCUUCAGCCAGGCGGGGCCUGGCUGUCCCUGAGCAGUAAAGCACACCUCACCAGCAUGCCUUGUCCCCACACACUCAUGUCCCCUGCAGCCCUCCCAUGCCGAGUCUUUCAGCAGCUGUUGAGUACAGAAAAGGCCCUGGCAGUCGCGCAGCGGUCUCCAGCUGGUCACCUUCCUUUUUCUUCUAUGUCAGCCCAUGCCAGGGCUGGAAGGAAUCUGAGCGCUCCUCAGCCUCCUCUCGUGCACACCGUGGACUCCUCUGGCUCCAGCUCCUGAGGCUUGGUCUUCAGUACCUCUGUGUUCCCAGAGCUGGCUGACAGUAGGCUCCAUGAGCAAAUGCGAGUCAGUGAAUGAAUGAAGGAGUCCUGAUUCCUUUGUUGUCAUCUUUUCCUCAGAGCGACCCUUUGCAUGGGCCACAUUUCACUCCAACCUCUCAGCUUUUUUGCAAAAUGAGUUUACCUGUGAUUGUUCCCUCCCAGCUGUACUGAACGGAGCAGUUACAAGGGAUCCCUUGGCACCCACACACUGUUGGGGGGCAGCAGGACCACAGACCCUCUAUCAGCCACAAGAGGAGCAGGACAGCUGGAGCCUACUAACAAUGUUUCCCCUCCGUGGACUCUGUCCCGGUUCCUAGAGCUGCCACAACAAAAUGCUGCAAGCUUGAUGAAGUUUGCUUUAAAAACAGAAAUGUAUUCUCUUCAGUGCUCCCAGUCUUCCUACAAGGACAGAGUGAUAUUAGAUUAAAAGCCAACCUACCCUAGUGUCUUACCUCAUUAUAUCCACAGUGACCUUAUUUCCAAAAAAGAUCAUACUCUGAGGCUCUGAGAAGGACAUGAAUUUUGGGGGGAACACAGUCCAACCUUCCUGCCUGCUGCAAGGUUUCGUCUUGCCUCCACCUCCCCUUAACUCUCUACCCCUUCCUUUAGUUGUGGGCAGAGACUUCUGAGAUGCAGCCUCUUGUGCCCACUAGCCUCGGAGGGGGCCAUCUGUGCCACUGUGUCCCCUCUGUGGACACUGACACUCCAGGGACCCGUAAGCCCUGAAGUCUGAACUCUUAAAUCAGCUCACCCUGCUCAAGUUGCACUUUGGAAACACCCCAACAGCUUUUCAGACAUGAAGCCCUGACCACAUUCCCAGGAAGUCUGAUGCACUUGGUCAAGGCAAGACUUUGGCAUGAGCACUUGUUUUUUUUAUUUUAAGAAUGAGAACAAUUGUGUUAGAUGCUGUGAAAACAGCCCUCUCUUUGGGAAAGGGAGUACAGCCACCUGGCAUUCACCAGGAACAUGGGUUUCUACACCCCAUGGUUUGGCAGCCUAAAAAGCUACAUCAGGCUACUCAGAAGGCCUAGCUCAAGGUGGGGACUUCAGCAACACCGCUUCCAAAAUCUCCUAAGUUCCCAGAAAGCAGGAAAGAGCAAACACAUUGUUUAGGAGACCUGCGACCAUCUGCAGAAACAAAAUCUCCUUGAAGUUUCCUAUUUUGUCUUUAAAAUGUAAAUGUUGCAUCUCCUUCUAUAAUGUAGACAACUUCUUUUACAGUUUUUAAAAAAUCAUUCUUUUUUUCCUCCUCCAAAUCAAGUGUUGAAAUGAGGCUCCAGAAAGAUGAACUAUGUUUAAACUGUGGCUUUGUACAUCCUAUUGGGUCCCCCUGAGUUCCUGACCGUGAAAAGUCCAGCCACAGAGAAUUAGGAGGGGUGACAGCUGAUCUGUUUACCAUUCGGAACGAAUCAUAUCGUGGGAAGAAAGCCAGGCCCGGAGAAGGUGAAGAGCUCACCAGGAUCACACAGUGUGUUACUGACUGGGUCGGAGCAGCACCUCAGGACACACCAUAUCCACUGUUUUGGGCAGCGUGGGGAGCCCUCCAUUCUGCCUACCUCAAAACUGUCAAGGAGGCUCCAGUGAAGAGGACCUGUGAGGUGGCACUUUGAACUUAUGGAGUCAGACAUAGGGACAAGGGGCUGUCAUCAUAAAUCCAGCCUGACACUGCUAAGCAAGGUACCAUGCUCCUAGCAAGAGUGACCUUCUGGGUCAUGCCUGGCAGACCUCCGAAGCUGCUCAGUGACUCCCUGUGUCCCAGGCACAGGAGGCUGAGGCCUCACAGCAUGCAGGUCCUCUUUGCCAGCACAUGCUUUUCUCUCCCCCACCAGCGGCAGACCACAGGAGUGACCCCACCAACAGCACUCUCAGCUCAAUCCCCUUCUCCACAAGGAGUCAUGGGAAAAUGGCAUGUCCCACAUCUCCUUUCUCCCUUGCCGAGGCCACAGAGACCUCCCCUACAAUCCUCUUCCAGAGGAAGUCACAUCCCGUCCUGCCUCUGACCCUCCCUCGCUGUCCCAGGCCUGAGUGAGGCUCCUCAGCUUUCUGCUUUCUUCUGUUUACAUUGGGAGACGAGCUUCUGCUGAGCUUAAGUGCAGUUCUGGCCCUUUUGUUUGUUUUUAAGUCAAGUUACAACUUUGCUCCUGGAUUUAUUACAACUUCCAUUUAUCUUCCUCUGCCCAGGGUCUCUGCACAGAUCCUUUGGAGCUUCCCUCCCCCGCUGAGGACAGCUAUCAAGGGGCACGGGACAGGCGGGAGGCACAGACUGAGAGCCAGAGGCUGGGGAGGAAGCCACAGGCAGGCGCACAGGAGGAGGGGCUGCAGAUCCUGCAGGGGCGGCCAGCUGCAUGCCUCCUGCCCUUCUACAGGCCUUAAUAGGAAAGAAGAGCCAGGCUGAAAGGUGAAGAAAGCCCAGGCCUUAGAGGAGGAGUAAAGGAAGAAAGACUGGUUUGGAAGAAAGGAGCCUGUGGCAGUUUCCAGCAGGCAGUCAUUAUGGUGCCUAACAUCCCAAGAGGUCUAGAUUAGGCGCUUCUGCAGGGCUGGCCUGACAAGGGCUGUGGUCUCUGGGUGAGCAAAUGUCCAUGGAGGAAUGCCCAGGCCUGCAGGGCACCAGCACAGCCUCAGAGUGUCCCCUUCCUUCUCACAAGCCUCCCUGAGCCUCUGCAAACCCCAUGGUGUUCUUGCACUGUUGAUGAAGAACAAACAGGUCCGAAACCAGAGCUCACUGGGGAGAGAAAGAGAAUCAAACUGAGCCAUGAAAAUUGGGAGCAGGAACUCCAACUACGCUACUGCCUUGUCCUUCCGAGACAGGAAGUCCCGAUGGCCAGUCCUCACUCGCAUGCAUGCCCUCGCUCAGCAGUACGCAGUGGCCCCUCAGGGAUUCACAGGGAUUGGGCAGCUACGUGAGAGUCCCAGGAGCUGGGGAAGAGCGACUACUGGGCUCUCAGGACCUAAAGAUAUGACCUCAGAAGGGGGUCUGAACCCUGCCUGGCCCCAGAGAGCCACUGUGGUCCUGGGGGAGCUACAGAGUCCCUAGCAGGCUGCAGCUAAAGGGGUCAACGUUCAUGGUCUCCCCUUAGCAUCGCAGUCCCAGGGUGUAAAACUCAGGUCUCAGGGUCUCAACCCAGGACCUCACGAAAUGGGGAUAAGGAAUCUGGACGGAGCAGGCUGCACAAUCCUAGGAGCAUCCCAGCUUCAAACUGCCUAACAACGGGGGCUUUCCACAGCAGCCUCCCUGGCAAGAGCCUGGGCUUCAUUCCAGUCCUGCUCCCUAAGUCACCCAGCAGCUCAGCCCCUCACUCUGCCUCUCCCCUGCCUCAGAGCCUGGCCUGCAGGCCUCCCAUCUGUCCAACUGCCACUUGGCUCCCUCCAGACUUCUAUGGCAUCCCCUGAAACCUCCAAGACUUCCACCACUGGCAUCCCCUCUCUGCCCACAGCUACCAGCCCUCACCCUUCCUUCUUCUACCUCUCCCCAUGACCCCAUAGGAGCUUUCCUGGGCCCCCUCCCCAGCCUGACUCUGUGCCCUUAACCCCUCGAACCUCUGACUCUCCCCAGGGUCUCCUGAGGGAGCCACCUAGGCCAGCCGCUUCUUUCUCUGCACCUGUAGCUGCCGGGCCCUGCCAACACCAGCUGCAGACACAGCAACCCAGCAGUCCCAGCUGUCCCUCCAGCUCCUGAGUCAGCUGGACACCAUCCCUGAGGCCUUCACUCUCCUGAGGCCUGCCCGCCCUGACCCCACCUCCAUUUUCUAUCCACAGAGCCUCUGACACCCCUCACUGAGGAGGUCCAGCCUCUCCAAAGCACCCUUUCCUGCCUCCUCUUGUCCAUCCAUGGCUCAUAUCCCCACCCUUGCUCAGUGGAGAGGAGCAGAUAUAUCCGCCCCUUUAGCAAAUGAAUAAUUUACCCCUUGGAGAAUGGCAGCAACAUUUAUCUCUUUUGUCCCGCAUUGCCACCCAUCCUCCUUCCUGGAUUAGAAGCUUCCUGUGUGGUAACAGGAGCCCCAGUGACAUGAACACGUGUCCAUGUUUGAGAAACUGUCCCAGAGUGCAGCUGUCUCUGAUGCUAAGAUGGCUGCCCUUAACUCCUUCUCUCAGGUGCCAUCCUUUUGUUCCCCUUGUUACAUAUCACUCAUAGUAUCCUUUACACCUUUGUCUACUUCCUGUCCCCAGGAACUGGCCCUUCCUCCCAUGAGCCACCCCAUGUCACCUCUGCACAGUGACUGGGCCUCCCAUCCACCACCUGAAACCCUUCCUUGGAUUCUCCUGGUUCCUUUCUGCCAGGCUUCUGCUUUUCUCUCUGGCCAAGUGCUCCUUCCUUGCUUCUCUGGCCACCCAGUCUCCUUGCCCUCACAUUCCUUCUAUCUCAUCCACGUGUACCAAAUCUCUCCAGCUGAGCUUCCACAUUUCUGCCUGCCUGCUGACAGUCCCUGCACAGACACCCUCCAGUUUCUGCACAGAAUGAACUGAGCACCUGUCUUAGCUCCAUCUUCUUUUUCGUGGUUGUUUCUUUAUGUAUGUUCACUGCACAGUGUCCACCUCUCCUGUCUCUCCCUGCACACCUGAUCUGCUUCUGGAACCCAAAAGAAUCCUCUUCUGUACUGCUUUUGAGAUCUCUCACCACCUCCAGGAAGUCAUCUAAAUGUGAGCCCUUCCCUUCCCUCUCCUGGACAUUUUCUACGACUCUCUUGUAGUCCACUGGUCCUCUGACACAGAGCCCACUCUACUGACCCCUUUUCCUUGCAGAAAUUCAGACGCACGUCCUCCCCAGCCAGCAGCACGGACCUGCCUACCCUGCCGGCCCGGUCUUCACUGCUGCCAGUGUCACUCAGCAGCUGUUGCUGAGGAUCUGCUGUGUAAGAUGCACCUGCACUCUGCUCAUAGCCACCUAAUUCCUGCUCACAGAGCUUACCAAUAUGCACUCAUCCAGUUUUCUGGUCCCUCUUUUGAUGCACUGUUUUAAUCUGGCAGAAACACCCUCUCUUUUGCUCUCAAAUCCUCCUCCACUCUGCCUUAUAAUACUGGUUUUUCCCCUCUUACAACUGCACUGAACUGUGUGUGUGUGUGUGUGUGUGUGUGUGUGUGUGUGUGUGUAUUGUGUGUGUGUGUGUGUGUGAUAUCCAUGUUUGUGUAGCCCUGAAAACCCAGGAACAAUCCCUAUAUGUAUUGAAUGUGUAGUUAGUAAACUGGUUGCCAUUGAACCAGAUCUGAUUCCCUCAUUUCACAGAUGAUAAAGCUGUAGCCAGAGCUGGGCCCAGGUCAGAAGGAGAGGAAACAGCAGAAUCACAUCUCAGUCCAGCUCUCCUGAUUCCUGACAAUACUCAGGCAAAUAAGGAACUGCAAGCUCAGUUGCCCAAAGCCUGACUGCAUGUGCCCUCCAUGUGUGCAUCAGCUGCUCCUCCACUCUUCCUCCUACAAAGUGGGUGGACUCGAGCCAGAACCGAGAGACUGUGGAUGAGUAUCCGGGGCUUAUCCAAACCCACCCAAGGUCUUACCUCAUCUAGUUUGCCACCACCACUUCCUGGUCCACAUUUAGUAUCUAACAGCAAGUGCGUGUCAUCGAGUUUUCUGAAGCUCUAGGGCAGUAGCUUCCUGUCUUCUUUCAGCCGUGGAGGUACCACCUUAUAAAGUCUGUAGCGGAAAUGUCUCUUGCCUGUUGAGAUAUUCCUGCUAUGCCUUCAACCCUCAUGGCCUGUAACUGGCUCUUCUGCAAAGUAGAAGAGCUCCUCCCACCCGCCUUGCAGCAUCGUCUUUUAGUGUAGAAGGAUUUCUGAAGCAUAUUAAUUCUUAUAGUUCCUGGCAGGACACAAAAACCUAUCAGCAAACUAAUGUGUUUUGUAGAAGUUGAGCAGGGCCCCGGCUGUCUGUGGGGCUGCCCACAAUGGUAGCCAUCAGUGCUCUCACAUGGGGAUCUGGAGAAAGCUAAGCUUUGUCACUUGGGAAAGAUUUACAGAUCCCUGUGUCUGGGCACACACAGCCCAGGAUGCACUCAGCUCUCCAGGUUCGACCUGGGACAUCCGGAGCCUAUAAAAUCCACCUCUAUUUUGGGGUCUUCUUGCUUUCAAUCCAGCUGUGGCCUUACCCCAAUCCAGUGAAAGAUUUUCUAUUUUAAUAACAAAGAAUUUGUUUAUUCAGUUUCAUAAAAUCCGAUGGAAGGGUCAUGCACAAGACUCAAAUCCUUGCUAUGAAUUUCAAAGAACUGGACAAGUAAUAACAUUGUCAUCCUAACCCAAGGAGGUGGAGAUUACAUUAGCUGCUGCAAGCAGCAGAGAACAACAUUUGGAAAAUGUGCCAUGUCGCACUCUGUGCAGCUUGGAACAGCAAACCAACCAUUGCUGUCAAGUAGCCUGUGCUCUCUGUCAAGGGUGAGCUGGAGCAGGCUGCCCUGGGAAAGGCAGUCACAGCUGAGUGUAGUCGUUUGCGUGGGAAGUCCAGCUGUCUCGAUAGGGCCCAGGAGACAGACUGACGAAGGGAGAAUUCCUGUGUUUGGGACUGGGCUUGAGAAGUCGCCUGUUUGUAACACUCAGAAGAGCAGAAAGAAUUUCCAGCUGUCGACAUAGUGCAGGGAGCCGUCCUGAUGCUGACGGGGCCUGUUUUUGCAUUACAGAUUCUCCUGUCCUCCUGGGCUGGCAGCAGACACCCAGUCCAGGGACCGGCUCUGGAUCCACAUGACCCUUUACCUUACUAAAAGACAAACAGCAAUAUUGUAUGAUUCUACGUAUAUGAGGAACCCAGGGAGGUCAAAUUCAUACAGCCAGGAAGUAGAAUGUUCAUUGCUAGGGCUGAGGAGGGGAGAGGAGAAUGGGGAGUUCAUGGUUACAGAGUUUAUUUCGCAAGAUGAAAAAGUUCUGGAGAUGAGUGGGUGUGGUUGCAGAUCACUAUAAAGGAACUGAAUACACAGAAAUGUACACUCAGAACAGCUGGAACACUAAUGUAUGUUAUGUAUAUUUUAUCAUGAAGAAACAAAGAAUAGAUUCUGUAAUGUUUGGAGGGAGUUAGCCUCACACUAAGUCUAUCUAUUAUCAAUAGUGGGUGACAUUCUUUUUCAUCAGAACCUUAUUUUCCUUUAUUGAAAUGUAAUUCGGACACCAUAAAAUGUAUUAUUUUAAACUAUAUACUUUAAAAUGACUUGUAGAAUUAUAGGGACAAAGAAAAAAUUUCCCCCUUUGUCCGCCAAAGGGUCACUGGAAUGAACUGACAACAGACAAACAGGAGAAAGAGACACACAGAUUUAUUUAGCAUGUAUGGAGGGAAAUCACAGGAGUGUGAAUCCCACCAAGCCAGCAAGAUUCAGACGGCCGCCUACUUGUCUUCAUAGGCCAGAGGGACAGGGAGGAACGUAGGCGAUUGUAUUUGAAGAGUAGCAAAUGGCUGCUGAGAGGAUGGAUAGGUCAAGAGAACAUAAAUGAUCUCCUUAGAAUAAUGAAUGGACCGGGGACAUAGAUGAUAGCUUAGGACAAAGUCUGCCGAGGUGCAGAUCUGCCUGUUUUCCUUCUCACACCGUGAGUUAGUUAGCGAAACCUCAAGGAGUGAACCAAAGGUUAUUGUUUUUCCUUUCUGGCAAGUCUGGCUUUUGGAAAGAUAAGGGAAUAUCAGCCAAGCCUCUUGUUGCAUCAGCUGCUUUCCAAGGGCCUUGUCUGAAAAUAAUUAGCAUGCCGGUGUGGCACAUUUUGAGGUGGAAUUUCCCAGGCUCCUUAAGUAUAUGCACAAGGCGGUACAACCAUCAUUACUGUUUAAUUUAAAGAUAUUUUCAUUACCCUAGAAAAAAUCUAUUAGUAGUCACUCCCCAUUCCUCCCUCCAUCCGCCCCUGGCAGCCAUUACUCCACAGUCUGUCUAUAUGGAUCUGCUUAUCUGACAUUUGAUACAAACGGGAUUGUACAAUAUAUGAUAUUUUGUUCUGGAUUCUUUCAAUUUGCAUAGUGUUUUCAGAUCCAUCCUGUUUUAGCAUAUAUCAGAAUUCAUGAUACAAAGCUGAUAACAUUCCAUGGGUCACAUACACCACAUUUUGUUUAUCUACUAUCACAAGUGCAUAGUUGGAUUGUUUCACAUUUUUACUAAUAUUUUUCUGCUAAGAACAUUCAUGCACAUGUGUGUGGACCUGUGUUUUCAAUACUUGGUUACAUAUGUAUCUAAGAGUGGAAUUGUGAAUCAUAUGGUAACUCUGCUUUAUUUUAUGAGGAAUCACUAAACUUUUCCAAGUUUAAACAUUUUAGCUAGAAAUAUUUGAGGGUUCCAAAUGCUCCACAUUCUCAGAACACUUGCUAUUGUCUUUUCUUUAUUAUGAUAUCCUUCCCAGGAGGUAUGAUAUCUCACCAUGAUUUUGAUUUGUUAGUGACUGAAAAUGUGCAGCUUUUCAAGGUUUGGGCAGCGGCGAUUGGAGAUGGAGCUGAAGGCCUUGCAUAUGCUAGGCAAGCACUCCCCCACCGCACUACAUCCUCAGCCCUGUUUGUACAACUACUUUAGAGAAAUGGCCAUUCAAAUCCUUCACCCAUUUUUAAAAAUUAUGUUGUCUAUCUUUUUAUUGUUUCAUUGUAAAAGUUAUGUAUAUAGCCAGGCAUGGUGAUGCACACCUGUUAUCCCUGCACAUUGGGAGGCUGAGAUAAGAGGACUGCUGUGAGUUCAAGACCAGCCUGAACUGCACAGUGAAAGCUUGUCUCAAAAAGACAAAAAAAAAAUUAUGUAUAUAUUCUGUCUAUAAGUCUUUUAUCAUAUCUCUGAUUUGCAAAUAUUUUUCCCAUUCCAUUAUUGAUUGUAGCCUUCUACAAUCCAUUACAUCCAUGUUUCUUCUAAGAGUUUUAUAUUUUUAGUUGUUAAAUUUUCAGCUAUAUUGAUCCAUUUUGAGAGUUUUCUGUUCUCGGAUCAGGGAUUGAACACAGUGCCUUCACACUGAGCUAUAUCCCCAGCCCUUUGUUUUAAUCUUUAUUUUGAGACAAAGUCUCACUAAGUUGGCUAAAUUGGCCAGCCUGGGCAGAAAUUUACAAGCCUGCUGUCUCAGUCUUGAGCGCUGGGAUUACAGGUGUGUGCCACCAUGCCACCUGAUUUCAUUUUCUGUUGUCCAUAGCAGGAGAUGCAGGUCCAGUUUCAUUCUUUUAUCCAUUGAUAACUGUAAGUCUAAUAUCACUUAUUGAGAAGACUGUUUUAACCCUGUUAAUUAUGUUGGUAACCAUGUUCAAAAAAAUAAAACUUUCUCUUUUUCUAACAUAAGAAUUUAAAACUCUAAAUUCUGAAAGAAGCCAGACACAAAAGGCCACAUGGUGUUGAAUUCCAUUUAUAUGAAAUGUCCAGAAUACACAAAUCCAUUGAAAGAGAAUAUAGAUUAACGGUUUCCAGGAAACGGACAGAGGAGGAAGUAGAUGCUAUAGUUAAUAGAUAUUUUCUUUUGGAGGUGACGGAAAUGUUCUGGAAUUGGUGGUGAUUGUUGCACAAUAUGGUAAAAAUAAUAAACAGCACUGUUUUUAUUUUUUUCUUAAAAUACACUCAAAAAUGAUGUUUUCAUGUUUUCUUUUUAAAAUUUUCAUUCAUUUCAAAUAAUUUUAAAUUAUCCUCACAUUUUCUUCUUUGACCCAGGGAUUAUUUAAAAUAUAAUGUUUAGCUUCCAAAUAGUUGGUUGUUUUCCAAACAUCUGUUUGGUUUUUACUUCUAACUUAAUUAUUUUGUGAAAAGAUUUCAAAUUUUUAAAACAUGCCUUAGUUCUUUUUUAUGGCUCCAAUUAUAAUCCAAUUUGGUGGGUGUUCCUCUGGAAUUUGAAAAGAAAUAGAUGUUCUACUAUUGUUGGGUGGAGUGUUCUGUAAAUGUCAGUUAGGUCACACAGAUUGGUGGUAUUAUUCAAAUUUUCUAUAUUUUUAAUAACUUACUGCCUAACUUUUCUAUCAGUUCCUGAGAGUGAUGUAACUGUAGAUUUGUCUAUUUCAUCUUUAAGUUUUGCCAAUUUUUAUUUUAUGUAUAAUAAAUUCUGUUAAUGGAUGCA